CAUGCAAGUCGAACGAGGAUAUACCUUUCGGGGUAUAAACCGAGUGGCGCAAGGGUGAGUAAUGCAUAGAUUACCUGCCUCUAGGAUAAGGACAACUUUGUGAAAACGAAGCUAAUACUUAAUAAUACAAGAGAGAAUAAUUCUUUUUUGUCAAUGGGAGGGUAGCAAUACCUUUUGCCUAGAGAGGGGUUUAUGUCCUAUCAGCUUGUUGGUGGGGUAAUGGCCUACCAAGGCGAAGACGGGUAGCCGGUCUUAGAGGAUGGUCGGCCACACUGGGACUGAGACACUGCCCAGACUUCUACGGAAGGCUGCAGUCGAGAAUCUUUCGCAAUGCCCGAAAGGGUGACGAAGCGACGCCGCGUGAGUGAGGAAGGCCUUCGGGUUGUAAAGCUCUGUCAGGUGUUAAGAAAUAUAAGUGUGCUAAUACCACAUUUAUUUGACAAAGGCGCCAAAGGAAGCCACGGCUAACUCUGUGCCAGCAGCCGCGGUAAUACAGAGGUGGCAAGCGUUGUUCGGAAUUAUUGGGCGUAAAGAGCACGUAGGUGGGUUCGUAAGUCAGAUGUGAAAGCCUUCUGUUCAACGGAAGAAUUGCAUCUGAAACUGCGAGUCUUGAGUGUAGGAGGGGAGAAUGGAACUUCUGGUGGAGCGGUGAAAUGCGUAGAUAUCAGAAGGAACGCCGGCGGCGAAAGCGAUUCUCUGGCCUAUUACUGACACUCAGUGUGCGAAAGCUAGGGGAGCAAACGGGAUUAGAUACCCCGGUAGUCCUAGCUGUAAACGAUGGGCACUAAGUAGAGGGAAUUACCGAUGUUCUCUCUGCCGUAGCUAACGCAUUAAGUGCCCCGCCUGGGGAGUACGGCCGCAAGGCUAAAACUCAAAAGAAUUGACGGGGGCUCGCACAAGCGGUGGAGCAUGUGGCUUAAUUCGAUGCAACGCGAAAAACCUUACCGGGGCUUGACAUGGUAGAAGUAGGAACCCGAAAGGGUAACGAACGGUAUCCAGUCCGUAGCUAUCACAGGUGUUGCAUGGCCGUCGUCAGCUCGUGUCGUGAGACGUUGGGUUAAGUCCCCUAACGAGCGAAACCCUUGUUUUUAGUUACCAGCGGGUUAUGCCGGGUACUCUAGAAAGACUGCCGUCGUCAAGACGGAGGGAGGUGGGGAUGACGUCAAGUCAUCAUGGCCCUUAUGCCCCGGGCUGCACACGUGCUACAAUGGUCGGUACAAACGGAAGCGAAGCCGAGAGGUGGAGCGAAUCCUAAAAAGCCGAUCUCAGUUCGGAUUGGAGGCUGAAAUUCGCCUCCAUGAAGUUGGAAUCGCUAGUAAUCGCGGAUCAGCAUUGCCGCGGUGAAUAUGUUCCCGAGCCUUGUACACACCGCCCGUCAAGCCACCCAAGCAGGAUGCACCCGAAAACAUUAUAUCUAACCAGGUUUACCUGGAGGAAAGUGUUGAAGGAGUGUUUUGUGAGGAGGACUAAGUCGUAACAAGGUAGUCGUAGGAGAACCUGCGGCUGGAUCACCUCCUUUCU
rnacentral:rRNA from 1 species